AUUGAACGCUGGCGGAAUGCUUUACACAUGCAAGUCGAACGGCAGCACGGGGCAACCUGGUGGCGAGUGGCGAACGGGUGAGUAAUACAUCGGAACGUGCCCAAUCGUGGGGGAUAACGUAGCGAAAGUUACGCUAAUACCGCAUACGAUCUACGGAUGAAAGCGGGGGAUCGCAAGACCUCGCGCGAAUGGAGCGGCCGAUGUCAGAUUAGGUAGUUGGUGGGGUAAAGGCUCACCAAGCCAACGAUCUGUAGCUGGUCUGAGAGGACGACCAGCCACACUGGGACUGAGACACGGCCCAGACUCCUACGGGAGGCAGCAGUGGGGAAUUUUGGACAAUGGGCGCAAGCCUGAUCCAGCCAUUCCGCGUGCAGGAUGAAGGCCUUCGGGUUGUAAACUGCUUUUGUACGGAACGAAACGGCUCUCUCUAAUACAGGGGGCUAAUGACGGUACCGUAAGAAUAAGCACCGGCUAACUACGUGCCAGCCGCCGCGGUAAUAC
rnacentral:rRNA from 1 species